GGAUGCGAUCAUACCAGCACUAAAGCACCGGAUCCCAUCAGAACUCCGAAGUUAAGCGUGCUUGGGCUGAGUUGUACUAGGAUGGGUGACCUCCUGGGAAGUCCUCGUGUUGCAUUCC
rnacentral:rRNA from 1 species